rnacentral:piRNA from 1 species
UAAGGUCUGGGACCUUAGGGACUUG